GGUCGGUUAGCUCAGUUGGCAGAGCAUUGCAAUUACAUCUUCAUCAUAGCUUACUGUGACAGAAUGACUGCAAAGGCCAUAGGUUCAAGCCCUAUACUGACCA